rnacentral:misc_RNA from 1 species
UUAAGUUCAGCGGGUAAUCCUGCCUGAUCUGAGGUCUAAUCUAAAAUUGACUAUAGAGGUUUGAAGCUUCUACAAUUAUCUUGUUCGGCCACUAAUAAAAGUGUCCUCAGCGAAUAGUCUAUUACACUGAGUCAAUCCGAAUUCGAAUUAGAGAUGCUAAUGUAUUACGAACGAGCUACGUCCGAAGACCAGCAACGUUC